GACGAACGCUGGCGGCGUGCCUAAUACAUGCAAGUCGAGCGAGCUUGCCUAGAUGAAUUUGGUGCUUGCACCAAAUGAAACUAGAUACAAGCGAGCGGCGGACGGGUGAGUAACACGUGGGUGACCUGCCCAAGAGACUGGGAUAACACCUGGAAACAGAUGCUAAUACCGGAUAACAACACUAGACGCAUGUCUAGAGUUUAAAAGAUGGUUCUGCUAUCACUCUUGGAUGGACCUGCGGUGCAUUAGCUAGUUGGUAAGGUAACGGCUUACCAAGGCAAUGAUGCAUAGCCGAGUUGAGAGACUGAUCGGCCACAUUGGGACUGAGACACGGCCCAAACUCCUACGGGAGGCAGCAGUAGGGAAUCUUCCACAAUGGACGCAAGUCUGAUGGAGCAACGCCGCGUGAGUGAAGAAGGGUUUCGGCUCGUAAAGCUCUGUUGGCAGUGAAGAAAGAUAGAGGUAGUAACUGGCCUUUAUUUGACGGUAAUUACUUAGAAAGUCACGACUAACUACGUGCCAGCAGCCGCGGUAAUACGUAGGUGGCAAGCGUUGUCCGGAUUUAUUGGGCGUAAAGCGAGUGCAGGCGGCUCAAUAGGUCUGAUGUGAAAGCCUUCGGCUCAACCGGAGAAUUGCAUCAGAAACUGUUGAACUUGAGUGCAGAAGAGGAGAGUGGAACUCCAUGUGUAGCGGUGGAAUGCGUAGAUAUAUGGAAGAACACCAGUGGCGAAGGCGGCUCUCUGGUCUGCAACUGACGCUGAGGCUCGAAAGCAUGGGUAGCGAACAGG
rnacentral:rRNA from 1 species